AGUGCGGUGUCUUCUUAGCUGAGUUUCUGAGAUGCCUCAGUCCCAGGCAUCCUGAGCCCACACCACUGUGACCAUGUAGGCUCUGAGCAAACCGGGUCAAGCUACCAACCAGAGGACUCAGGGGGAGCCCUUGCUGCUGGUUUUGCCCCUUAUUGCUUUCUGGGACUAGAAGACUGUAGAAAACGAUAAAGGAAGACGUGAGGGUACAUCAGAACAUAGACCGUGUUUUGGAAGGCAGCCAAUGCAGACAAAUCAAGAAAUUAACAUUCAGUGUCUCCAUCAUCAUCACCAUCCAGAAGGGCACUGACACAACACAGACUUCUUUCUAGUCCUUCCAAAACCACUCCUGGCAACAAACGAUGGCACAAAGACUCAGAACCACAUCUACAUCUGGAUGCAUUCAUGGCUCUGGAUUAGCAAGACAUGGAGGAUAGAACUGUGCUGGUAUUUACUGGUGGCCACCCUUCUCCUGUGCCUGAACAUCAUCUUGCUGCGCUGGGUGGGAUCUUCUCUUUCAGUGAAUAUUUUCCCCGGGCUAUGGCUCUUCAGUCAGCUGUCAACCUAAUGCUCAUCCAAAGAAAAGGAGCUUCUACCCACAGCUGAAGGGAUAAUUUGCUGGAUUAGUGAGAGGUGAUGCCAGACUGUAUAAAAAGUUUUCAUACAUUUUCAAGGGCAUUGUGGAUUCUAGUUUUGACUUUAAAACUCAUUCCCAAGUGAGAUAUUAUGCUGUAAAUCUAUCACUUAGUAUCCCAAACUGUAAUUCAGUGGAGUACAAUCUAUAAUUUUGUAAUACAUAUUAGGAGACAAUUACAGUGGGAGUGGGAAAACAGACCUGGCUAUUACCUUUAAGGGGCCAAUAAAUAUCUCAGUUGCACUUUUUAAUAGUUUAACCAAGAUAUUCAAAACAUUUCUUAAGUUGACACCAAAUUCUUCUGAAAACCUAAGACUUCCUAGAGUCUUGGUCUGGGACACUUCAGAUUUCGAUUUGAUGACACUGCUAAUUGAUGUAUGUAAUAAAUGCUAUGCUUACAUAGAGAAGCUGAGCUAUACAUUAGUGAAAAUAAUUUGUUCUAACUAGGAAAAUAUAUAUAUGAGCCCUUACUUGCUUUUCCUUAAGCAAAUAAAUAUUGUGC
ensembl:lncRNA RGD1565753 similar to citrate synthase